GGCAUCAGGAAGAAAGCUUGCUUUCUUUGCUGGCGACCGGCGCACGGGUGAGUAACACGUAUCCAACCUGCCGAUGACUCGGGGAUAGCCUUUCGAAAGAAAGAUUAAUACCCGAUGGUAUAUCUGAAAGGCAUCUUUCAGCUAUUAAAGAAUUUCGGUCAUUGAUGGGGAUGCGUUCCAUUAGGUUGUUGGCGGGGUAACGGCCCACCAAGCCGUCGAUGGAUAGGGGUUCUGAGAGGAAGGUCCCCCACAUUGGAACUGAGACACGGUCCAAACUCCUACGGGAGGCAGCAGUGAGGAAUAUUGGUCAAUGGACGAGAGUCUGAACCAGCCAAGUAGCGUGAAGGAUGACUGCCCUAUGGGUUGUAAACUUCUUUUAUACGGGAAUAAAGUUAGGCACGUGUGCCUUUUUGUAUGUACCGUAUGAAUAAGGAUCGGCUAACUCCGUGCCAGCAGCCGCGGUAAUACGGAGGAUCCGAGCGUUAUCCGGAUUUAUUGGGUUUAAAGGGAGCGUAGGCGGAUGCUUAAGUCAGUUGUGAAAGUUUGCGGCUCAACCGUAAAAUUGCAGUUGAUAUGGAUAUCUUGAGUGCAGUUGAGGCAGGCGGAUUCGUGGUGUAGCGGUGAAAUGCUUAGAUAUCACGAAGAACUCCGAUUGCGAAGGCAGCCUGCUAAGCUGCAACUG
rnacentral:rRNA from 1 species